AACGAACGCUGGCGGCAUGCCUAACACAUGCAAGUCGAACGAGACCUUCGGGUCUAGUGGCGCACGGGUGCGUAACGCGUGGGAACCUGCCCUUAGGUUCGGAAUAACUCCCCGAAAGGGGUGCUAAUACCGGAUAAUGUCUUCGGACCAAAGAUUUAUCGCCUUUGGAUGGGCCCGCGUUGGAUUAGCUAGUUGGUAGGGUAAAAGCCUACCAAGGCGACGAUCCAUAGCUGGUCUGAGAGGAUGAUCAGCCACACUGGGACUGAGACACGGCCCAGACUUCUACGGGAGGCAGCAGUGGGGAAUAUUGGACAAUGGGCGAAAGCCUGAUCCAGCAAUGCCGCGUAAGUGAUGAAGGCCUUAGGGUUGUAAAGCUCUUUUACCCGGGAUGAUAAUGACAGUACCGGGAGAAUAAGCUCCGGCUAACUCCGUG
rnacentral:rRNA from 1 species